AGAGUUUGAUCAUGGCUCAGAACGAACGCUGGCGGCAUGCCUAACACAUGCAAGUCGAACGAGACCUUCGGGUCUAGUGGCGCACGGGUGCGUAACGCGUGGGAAUCUGCCCUUGGGUUCGGAAUAACAGUUAGAAAUGACUGCUAAUACCGGAUGAUGUCUUCGGACCAAAGAUUUAUCGCCCAGGGAUGAGCCCGCGUAGGAUUAGCUAGUUGGUGGGGUAAAGGCCUACCAAGGCGACGAUCCUUAGCUGGUCUGAGAGGAUGAUCAGCCACACUGGGACUGAGACACGGCCCAGACUCCUACGGGAGGCAGCAGUGGGGAAUAUUGGACAAUGGGCGAAAGCCUGAUCCAGCAAUGCCGCGUGAGUGAUGAAGGCCUUAGGGUUGUAAAGCUCUUUUACCCGGGAUGAUAAUGACAGUACCGGGAGAAUAAGCCCCGGCUAACUCCGUG
rnacentral:rRNA from 1 species